ensembl:lncRNA
CUCGUUGUUGUUGUUCUCCUCAGUCCUGACAGGGCAGGACGUUAGGCCUAGCCAGCAGCGCCAGGUGGAGGUCUGGCUGUUGGUCUCCUCCACAGGCUGCACCUCAGGAAGGACCGGGUUGUUCUUCCUGUCCUCGAUCCUGACGGGGCAGGAGGUUAAGCCAAACCAGCAGCGCCAGGUGGAGGUCUGGCUCUUGGUCUCCUCCACAGGUUGCUCUUCAGGAAGGAUCUCACUGUUGUUCUUGUCCUCAACCCUGAUGGGACAGGAGGUUAGGCCUAGCCAGCAGCGCCGGGUGGAGGUCUGGCUCUUGGUCGCCACCCGAUGCUGCUCCUCAGGAACGACCUUUUGGUCGCAACUGCAGACCCAGCUGAGAUAGCUGGGACAGCCUGGGCCACGUCCCGCAAAUGGAGACAUGCUCAGAGCCAUGGCCAGGAAGAGAGUCAGGCUGAGCUUCAUCCUGAUCUCUCCCAAAGAACAAUCUCUACACACAAAUGGCUGUGACCCACAGCAGAGCUCCAGCAGUGACCACCAGGACGGAGCUGUUGCUCCAAGUGUCUGAGCUGGGGGAGGCUGCCGGCGUGACUUGACCAAGUCUGAUGUCAUGCCCUGCUCUGUGAUGUCACAAUGCCUUUCCCCCGCAUCGACCAUAGGAUUCCCAGCGUGUCCUGAUGGACGCCCUGGUGGAUUUCUCAGAUUCGCACCUUGUCAAGGCAGAGGGGCGAAGCUCAGAGAAUUCCUCCCUGUGCCACUAUGACAAAGCAGGAAACCGACAGGGCAGUAGACGGAAGGUUUUGGAAGCCUCUUUGGACGCGAGUUUCAUGAAAGACCCUGAAUAAUAGCCGCCGGAUACACUGUGCUUUUCUUCUAACUUCAGCUUCAGCUCCAUUUUAAUU